rnacentral:misc_RNA from 1 species
CCACAGACUAAAGAAGAUUUGGGGGGGAAAAUGGAGAAAGGCGACGGCGGCGAAGGCGACAGCGAGGGCCCUGCAGCGGAGAUGACGGAGCACCAGCAACCAAACUCCGACGAGACUUAUCUCACCACUCACCACCUCGCCGCACCACCGUCCGGUCUGACUCAGGAAGAGUUCGACGAGUUGAAGGACUUGGUAGCAGAGUUUCACAUCUACCAACUCAGCCGCGGCCGGUGCUCAUCCUUACUGGCGCAGCGUGUGCAGGCACCGUCGGAGGCCGUGUGGUCCAUCGUACGGCGAUUCGAUCAGCCGCAGAGUUACAAGCACUUCAUCAAGAGCUGUACGGUGAGCGAAGGAUUCACAAUGAAGUUAGGUUGUACAAGAGAGGUUAAUGUAAUCUCAGGCUUACCGGCAGAUACGAGUACGGAGAGACUCGAUAUUCACGACGACGAGCGUCGCGUCAUCGGAUUCAGCAUCAUCGGAGGCGAGCACCGUCUCCGGAAUUACCGAUCGGUGACUUCGGUGCAUCAGUUGGAGCGGGACGGUCAGAUCUGGAGCGUGGUUUUGGAAUCGUACGCGGUGGAUGUUCCGCCGGGGAAUACGGAGGAGGAUGCUCGUUUGUUCGCCGAUACGGUUGUGAGAUUGAAUCUGCAGAAAUUGGCGUCGGUUGUUGAAGGAAUGAAUCGUGGAGACGAGUCAAGGGCAUAAAGGGACUAGUGGCGUUGGAUUGUGGAGUGCAUUUCAGUCAAUGCAAGUGUACAAAAAAAGAACUGCUC